rnacentral:rRNA from 1 species
UACAGAGGUCUCAAGCGUUGUUCGGAUUCAUUGGGCGUAAAGGGUGCGUAGGCGGCGCGGUAAGUCGGGUGUGAAAUCUCGGAGCUUAACUCCGAAACUGCAUUCGAUACUGCCGUGCUUGAGGACUGGAGAGGAGACUGGAAUUUACGGUGUAGCGGUGAAAUGCGUAGAUAUCGUAAGGAAGACCAGUGGCGAAGGCGGGUCUCUGGACAGUUCCUGGACGCUGAGGCACGAAGGUCAGGGGAGCAAAACGGG